GUGUUGGAUAUCCAUGGAUCGAUCCCUCUGUAAUGAAUUGGUGGUUCUGUCGACGAAUCUCGCAUCGCUGAGCCCCAAUUCUAUUGUUUUUUAGAAACAGAGCCAGGUGAAAUGACACUAACUUUGCGCAGGUGUGUGCCCUCGUGGCCGAUCGAGAGAAUGUAUGGGUUGAAUGGCGCUAAGAUGGGUGCUGGCUGAUAGAUUUCUACACUGUGGCAGUGUACUGUGAGUUUGCAUUGGACUCUUCGGAAGGUUUUUUGGAAAUUUCGAUAGAGCGAACGGGUUGCUGUGUAGGGUGUGUGCGUUAGUGUGAGAGAGAGAGAGAGAGAGAGAGAGAGAGAGUGUGAGUGUGUGUUUUGCCUUUUUCAAUGAAAAUUUGUGCGGGUACUGAGAUUUUGAUAAUUGAUAGACGAAGGUGACAGCGAGGAAAUGUGGGUCAACUUGACGCUGUGACAUUUGUUUGUAGCUUGGCUACUGAUUGUGCAGUUUUGAUUGGUAUUGUGAGCUUAGUACGCUGUAGAGUUCCGACGAAGAUUUUCGUACUUGGCUCCAUCGUGCUCAUUGAGCGCAAUCCUAUAAUGUAUCUCAUCCAAGAAACGCUGUUUUAUGGCGAGUACAUGCAAGCAACUAUUCAAUGUCUUGGCACGUGAAGGUGUGAAGUGAAGCCAUGGCUAUCUCAGUGCUGGAGGGUACUUUGUAAUGAAAUGUCCCCACGGCGGGGUUACCCUACAUUGCAAGCAAAUGUCGUUUCGUAACUUCGCACGCUCCAGAGAUUAACUUUCGCGUGGAUAAAGUGUCCAACACACGUGUGCGUAGAUGAAGUGAUGUAACCACUUGAGAAAUUAGGUUUUCGGUAGUCAACGUUGUGUUUUGAUUCCGUGCAUGGAACCAAUAAUCUAAAUUGCAGAUUUUCUCGAGCCAUCCGCUGAGACAUACUGGUUCAAAUUUCGUCGAAUAUCAACGAGGAUGGUCGAACUGUAAAUGUGUACUGCAGUCACAUGUAUUACAACUGACCGAAACUUUUCGAACAGAUACAUUUCGAUGCAAAAUUUUGUUUGUUUGUGGCAGCGAUUUCGCAAUAUUUUGUCGUUCUUGCUUGGCGAGGCCCAGCUAAUUGGUCAAGUAUUCCCAGUUCUCUAACGUCCUAAUCAGGUACUUCUGCGAGUUUAGGUGUAGACGUCGGUGAUAAUGACAACAUCUAACACGGAUAAAUAAAGCUUCAUGUUCUGUUGGUGAUGCAUAUUGCCACAUUCUCGACUCUUGAACUCGAUGUUUAAGAAUCUUAAAGCUGGCAACCUCGGCUUAGUUGUAUGCGUCUAGGAGGCUGGCGAUCAAAGUGAAAGCACUUGAACCUAGAGGAGCUUGCGAACAUCGAAUUUAGUGUGCAGGCGGCUUGCUCUUCAUUCUUUCUACUUCAGAAGCUCUUCAUAUAUACUUGGGAGAGAUGCUCUGAUAGGAGAGCUUCACUGAGGGAGACCCUGCACAAACCGUCGUCUAUAUGCUAUCAUCCUCUGGAUGGUGUUUCAGACUCUGAGCAUGGUUCAGAAAUCUUACAACCCGAACGAGUUGAUUCAUCAGUUGCAGUCAUCAUCCUGGUUGUAAACGAGAACAGCAUUACAUGUCACUCGUAAUCUGAUGUAAACGGAUUGAAGCUUAGAUGAGGUUGAUUCGUCGAAGUCUGAGCAGGAGUUUUAGUCCACUAAUUCAAAUGUAACUAACAACCCAGCAACACUACAUCAGAUCCAUAGAAUAUCUGUAGAGCCUCUACAUCUUUAGUACUGGAACACAAAUGUACGGAGCCCCUGACGAAGUUCUUUGAGUUUUUGAAGCAUGGAUGACAGUCUCAGAAAUGGAGAUUCCACAAAAUAUGAGUUUCCGAUAUGACGCUGUGGUUA